AUGUUGGGUUCUUAACCUGCUGAGCCACAAUGGAAACUCCCAUUCACUCUUUCUAAUCCCUCUGCUUUGGCAAGAUUUCAGGUAGGAGCCCCUGAAUGACAGUGCUGCCUCUGUAAAGUGAGUGGUCCAAACUCAGCCUCUACUCAGACAUGAAUAACUGGACAUAAUGUAUCCCUGCAUUUUCUCUUCCCUUUAAUUCUUGAAUAAAAUAUGUAUUUUGAUAAUCCUCUAAAUUCUAUUUACAACAGUGAGAACUUCACAGAGGAGUAAGAUUCAGAGGGAAAAACCAACUAACUCCAAGAGCAACCCCCACUGCCUCUAAGCAUCUGCACCCCAACUUGCUGCACCCCACCCCCAGGAAUUGAGUCUUCCCCAUUCUCUCCCCACCAUCAAAAAGACACCAUAAAAAAUAUUUUCUCCUCAAAAAGUUUUACUUGGUCUUCUAUUUUCAUCUCUUUGUCCUGGGUUCAGCUCACCUCAUGUCAGGAAGAAUGUGAAUCUACAAAAUGAAAGACACUGUGUCCUCAUAUCUGCAGAUUAAUUAUUCUCUCAAUCAAUACUUCAUUCCUCAUGAUUAAAUAGUUCUCCUUCACUUUCCAACUUAGCCCAGGCCAGAUGACUUUGCUGUUUCUUACAUAAGGGAGCUAGGCUCCCUCUCCUUUUACACACAUCAUUAAAGCACCAUUAAAACAAGGUGUGGGUGACUUCUCCCCACCCCCGGCAUUUAAUGAGCUCCUUUCUCAUUACCCUAUUUUCUAGAUGUCUUCAGUGGCUUUGUUAUAGUCUCUCUUCAGCCAGGUGCUACCCACUCCCAAACCCUGAACGAGAUCAUCAGAUUAGUGGUCUGCUGUUCCAUCCCUAAACUUUAAUGGCUUCUUACUGUCUAUAGCACAAAGUCUAAAAUACCAAGCCUAAUAUUUUAGACACUUCAGAAGACAUCCCUGGAGGAUAUGUGCUCCAUACAAACAUCCUUCAUUAGACUCCAAUUUUCUCACUUCUCCCAAAACUCUUCUCCACCUGGUCUUCCUAUUCCUUAAUGUGAAAAAUUCUUGAACCUCAGCCCCAAGACCCCAUGCUUUCUUACCUCAUAGAAACUAAAGAAGUAACAAUAUCUUACUACAUAAUCAAAAUUGCCUAGUGUCAUUAAGUUAAUCAACAUGAGACUUGGUUACUACACUAUAAAACUGAGUUCCACAAGCUUCACUGUAAAUCAAUGCCAUUAUUUCAUGCUAUUAAAUAAGAGACAGAACCGAUGGCCUUGGGCAAGAUUCAGCUUCAUACUAGCUUUAUCUGGCCAUGGAGCCUUUUUUUUUUAUUUGAAUUUGAAGAAUCUGAAUGCCUUUGCAGGAGGUGGAGGGGAUGAGUUACACUCUCCAUUUUACCCCGGGCAUCAUCAUUCACCAUUAUUUCAAACCCCACUGCCUCCAGCAGUUACAAUUGCUGCCUGAUAAUGAAGAUGCUUGAGUCUGAACACCUUUUGAUGGUCACACUUGAAAUAUCUCCUUGCCUGAUUAAGUCCAAAGACUCUGGGAAGGUACAGGUUCUAUCUCAUAUUCCUUGGCAUAACUUGUCCCAUACUCUACAGGGCACAGUACAAUACCCAGCGCAUAAUAGGGGCUCACUAAAUAUAAACAGUGCUUGCAUGCAAGGCUGCAGAAUCAGUUAAUUAUUAGGGCUGAGACUGCAUGACCCAGUGAACAAAGGAUGCCAUCAUUCACCUUGUUAAACUUUCCUCAUGCAAUGACAAAUGAGCUUUCAUGACAAGCAGUUCUCUCCACGAAUCCAGCACUUCCAGCAGUGACACCUAUUACACAGAGUCUGCUCCUGGAAGUCAUCCCACUAAAAUAAGUGUGAUAUUUUCCUUAGUUCAAGAUACUCAGUUUAAAUGAGUGUCAGUUCCUGGAGGAAAAGGAACAGGGAUAUUUAUUUUAGGGUGGGGAAGGGGGGGAGUGGCUUCCUAAAAAUGCUAUUUACAAACAGAAUAGUCCAAUGACAGGAAAUGAGAGCAGAAGGCAUCUCUUGUUGGCCUAAACAAGAAGUGGUUAACCUCAUUCCAGCUUCUGUUGAGAGACCUUAGCUGUCCUUUCACUCUACUGAAGGACUCUGAAUUCAUUUUUUUUUCUCCAAACCCUUUAGGUUGAAUUAUCCAGCAGGCACCAGUCUCAGGGACAAUCAGGCGACAACCAAAGGGUGGCAGAAAGUAGUAGAAAGAGCACAAGGUCUGGAGACAAGACAGAGCAGGGUUUGGAAAUUGGCUCUGACACUCAUUAGUUUUUCUGAGCCUCAGUGCAGGGGUGGGGGGUAUGGAGUUACCCCAUGGAUCAGUGGGUUAAUGAUCCAACAUUGUCACUGCUGUAUCUCUAGUUACAUCUGUGGCAUAGGUUGGAAGCAGGCCAGGGAACUUCUGCAUGUCACAGGGAAGGCCAAAAAAGGGGGGGAGGGGAAUGCUUUCCUCAAUAAUUAAGCAAGAUGAGAAUAACAAUAGCUAACACCUACUGAGUGCUUCUUUAUGCCAGACACUGAUAUAAAGUGCUUUAAAUGCGUUAACUCAUCUACUUACAAGAACACUAUGAAGUAGCCGUUAUUAUUACCUUCAUUUCAUAUGGAUGGACGCUGAGGCACAAAAAAAAGGUUAUCUGCCCAAAUCACUCAGCUAGUAAAUGAUAAGACCAGGAUUCAAAUCCAGGUGUUCUCACUCCAAGGCCCUCAAUCUUAACAAGACCUACUAACGCCCUCGUGAAGGACUUGAUAAAGCACCUGGCAACCUGAGGCACUCAAUAUAGGAAUAAAAGAAUGAGAGAGAGAGGGCCAGAUGAAGGAAAAAAAUUUUAAUUCCACUUCUCUCCUGGGAUUCCAGGUUUCCUAAAGUUGGUUGGUGAAGCCUUUAGACCAUAGUUCUCCCAAGCCCCUCAAAGGUGCCCUUGUUCUGACUUCCUCUGUGGAAGAACCUAGAAGAAAUCACCUUGUACCUGCACCUAGGCCAAGCAGGAUAUGCAGUGACAAGAGCACCCGCAACCAAUCACAAACCAAAGGCCCGGGACCCACAUGUUUCAACUCUUACCUUAUCUAGAACUCUCUGCCUUGCCAGAAACUUCCCUCCUUCCUCCUCUUUAGCAAAUCCUAAUCCUGGCAUCUCAGCAGCCCAGGAGCCCCCAAGGCCCCACACCAUUUUGGGGCAGGCUUGGUGGCCCUCAGUGCUGCCAUCUCAGAGUUGAGAUGACUCUUACAUACACACAAAGCAAUAUAUACGCUGUAUCCCAGACAUAACAUAUGCUGUAUCCCUCCUGCCUGCCUGGCGUUGGAGAGGCAAAGCCAGGGUGCCUGCAGACAGCAAAUAAAUGAGCCCCAGCAGGUGAUUCUCAUGGGUUACUGCAGGAUCUCUAAGGAUACAGAAUCCCGACGGGAAAUUUCAGACUACUGAAGAAGCUCCAACAAGCCAGCCAGUCAUUUGCACCUGGGAAAAAGCACUUGUCCUAGGCAUGACCCUGUUUUUGCUAAAUUUCCUAGUUUUGAUGGUGAACAAUCAAGCAUUGGCUUUUUCCUUUGAUGGAGAGAGUAACUAAGGCCGCUCCUAGACCCCGGGUGGAGGGGCCUGGGCAGCAGACUCAAGGAGCCGAGGUCUGCAGCUCUGCUCAGUGUCACCAGGUUCUCAGUACAUGGGAAGAGAGGAGGGGGUUCCCUCCAAGACCUGCAGGUCCCCAGGGAGGGCUGAGAUGGGACCCCAUCCAGGGAAGGACAGCAGUCCCAUUAAACAGUGCUAGUAGGUUUAUGGGUCACAAUGGAUUAGAGGGCAUGUCGUUUUCUUGGGCUUCCCUCAGAGAGGUCAAGGGGUUCCUUUAAUGGAACUAAUUGAGCACAGCCAUGACCAUUAAUAAGGGCAGCCAGGCACUUGGGGGCUACGUGAACAGGCACAUAUAUCCCAUCAGUCCUCUCCAGUUAUACAUUUAAAACUGACCAACCUCUUUUAUGUUAAACAUAUCAUGUACACCCACACUUUUUUAAAUCUUAUUUAUAAUUCAGGGUCUACAGGCUUCAGCUAACUUUGGGCCAGUCAGGUGACCACAGGGACAUGAUGACUUCCUUGUAUGGUGACUUUUGCUUGGAGGGCCCAGACUCCAUGAAGGAGCUUCCCGAGGAGCCUCUGUAAACCCAAACCCUGUGAAACAUGCUGAUAAAAUGCUGUCCAGGCUUUGACAGACCUGCAACUGUGAAAGUCAAAGAAAGGAAUAAUAAAUUGAAGCGAGACAGGUGGGAAUUUUUAUUAACGUUUAAUGACAUAGAUCUUCCCAACGUAAUCUGAGACUCAAUACAUCACAAAAUUAUAUAUGUUACUAUAUACUCCAAAAGCACAGUCCUGCUGCAGUUCUGGCCCCAACAUAAUUCCUCAAAACCAAAAUAACUCCUUGAGAAAUAAAAAGGUAUAGUAAGAAUAACUUAAAUAAUAGAGUUAUCAGAUCAGAAAGUGAACAAAAGACAGAUUGAUUUGUGAAGUGAAAAAAAAUUUUUAAAUAAAAAUGAGCAUUUAAGAUCUUAUCCCUAAUCUGAAUUAAGAAGUUAUGCUCAAACUAUUAAAAACACUGAACAGUGAGUAUCACAAUGUGUAUGUGAACAAUAACUGACAGAAGAUACUAAUUCAUCAGAGCUGACCU